AGAGUGACCUUCCUCUACUUACAUUAUAAUGCCACACAAGAGCAAUUGGUAACAGGUUGUUCCAGUUGAAUACUCAGUCCAGUCAUAAAAAAGUAGCACAUUAGCAUGUGCAAUAUAUACAUUGCAUAAAGCAACAAUAAAAAUGAGUUUCCCAUCAAAAGAGUUUCACUGCAACUGCAGCAGCAAAAUCUGCAUAAUAAAAUUUACAUACAUGCCAACUUGAUAAAAAACCAAGAAUAUGUGCAACCAUGCUAGGAGCAAUCAAAGGAGCUAGCACAUGAACAAUUACCUCUUUCCCAAAACAAGAUAAACCAAGCUGCUACCAAAUGUAUACUCGCUAUCACUGAACUUCAGGAUGAUGAGCUAUCUAAAUCAAACAUAGUUUGAAAAAUGAACACUUUUCAUAGGGCAUUAUGCUACAACGAGACGCACAUGUGCAUGUUCAGCCAACGGCAGUAAAAUAAUGCACCACAGUGAAACUUGUCCCUCAUUUAUGUAAAUAUUUACAGCCCACUUCAUCAUCAUUUCCAAAACAAAACAAAACCAAAAAAAGGAAAGGAAAAGAAUGUAGAGUGGGCAAAUAUAAGAAAGGUUUUUAUAUAUAUUCACUAAUGGUGAAGGCUCUCUUGGGCGAUACUCUGGUAAUCCACCCAAAAAAGAAAAACAUAUGAGAAUAAAAUGUAAAAGCCUUCCUUCAGAUAAUAAUAAACCCAAUAAAAAAAGUAUAAAAUAAUAAGGAAACCUUAAUUUGAAAAAGGGCAUUAGCUGAUGUUUUACUGAUUUUGUUUCAUUAAUUUAACAUUCAGACCUAUCUAAUCAACAAAAAGGGGACCUGAGCACAAAACUACAUCAUGGAGCUUACAACGUUGAACACUAGUCUUAAGGAUGCUUGCUGGCCUUUGCUGAUGAUCAUAUCCACAGGAAAAGGCUCAUCCAGGAGUUUGACAUAUAAAUAUGAUCAGUUCAGCAACCAAAGAUCUAGAGAACGUCUCAAUAUGGAUUUCGUCGAUCAUGUUAUAACCAACAUUAACCUAAGAAUUUUGCAUAUAGAUUUCACCAGUUCAGGAAACCAAAACCCAUAACAAGCAACAACUUACGAUGUUGCAAAGUUCCAUAUUUUCUGCUUGGAUGAAGAAUUUCAUUGUGCAAAUAUGUACGUAAACAUGUAGGGAAACAUUGCUACUAGUGAACUUUUUGCAUUAGUACCAGUAUAGAGAAGAUAAUAAAUAUACAUAAAAGCAAAGUAUAUCUACUUUGAAGAUGAUAAUAUUUCACUAUUCAUGUUCUUUAUAUGAUGUCAUUUUUUCCAUUAUACCUGAGAAUUUGGAAAUCCAAAAUCAUGUCAGAGAACACAAUUUAUUUGUAAGUUGGUGUUUUAUGCUCCACAUCAAAUAACCAAAUGGCUAAAAUCAUGUCAUCAAGUCUGGGAGUAUUCAUUUGUAUCAAGUGCUCAGGUGUUCAUAGAAGUCAUGGAGUUCACACAUCAAAGGCAUUCACUAAACAGUAACCUUUUUGUUUUUCAAUUAGCAAUUACAUUGAUUACUUACCAACUGUGCUAAUUAUUUGAAUUGGAAUUUUUAGCCUAUUCUAGGAUUUCCAUUUAUCCCACUUAUCAUCAAAAAACCGAAUAGCUAAGAAUCCAUCAAAAUCACCACCCCCUACUACAUAUCCAUAAUGAAAUCAUCAAAAAAUUAGAAUUUUUUGGUAAAAUAACUUUCUGAUGACACAAACCACCAUAAAUGGGGUCACGCCGACAGUACUAGCUCUGAUCUAGGGUUUUAGCCAUGACGAUCACGACCAAAACCCUAGCUCAGAUCUACGGUUUCAAUGGAGGGGAAGCGAGAGGAGACAGUAGAGAGAGAGGAAUAGAGAGAGAGAGAGAGAGAGAGAGAGAGGAGGAAGAGACUACCUGCGAUGGAUCGAGAUCGAGAUCGAGAUUUUGAGGAGUCAGGACUUCGACACGAACGUGAGAGAGG